CUGGGGACAAAGUGGAGAUGUGGGUAGGCCUCCUUGAGCCGGGCUCUCAGAAGCAGGUGAGAUGCAAGAUAAAGCAAUCGCUUUUCAGCCACCUUUGACCUUCUCUGGCAGUUUUCUGUUGAGUGAAGGACAGUCAGGUCUAAAUGAUGAAAUAUGAGCUCAUGUUGCUAGCUUCCCACACCAUGAACUUACGGCUGUACAGGAAGCAUGGUGCUGGCAUCUGCUUGACUUCUGGUGAGGUCUCAGGGAACUUAUGGCAGAAGUGAAAGUAGGAGCAACAUGUCACGUGACAAGAGGAAGAGAG